rnacentral:lncRNA from 1 species
AAUACUUUAUGAUGUAUUUAAAUGAGUAUUUAUUGUUGCAAACUCCAUUAGAAAUUUGAAUUGAUAUCAUUUUUGGAAUAAGGGAAAGGGGGAGGUGAAAAAAAAAUUGGGGGGGAGGGGGUUCAAUUUUUUUUAUUUCAGAUUUCAGAAAUUAAAAAGAAAAUUUCUUCAAAUAUUUUUUUUUUGAGAGGAUUAAUAUUCAACAGCAUAGUGAAUUGCUCAAAAGCAAAAAAAAUAUUUAAGUUCAUUAGACCACAUUCAUUCUGUGUCAGAAACCUAUGCUGUGUCAACUAUUUAAUCACAAUCCACAUUCAGAGCUAUAUCCAGCUUGAAUGUUGUGUCCAUACUUGCCCCAACCGUUCAGGGUUUGACCUCUGCGGCCGUAAAAAGCUGUGCCCUGCGGAGCAUCUGGUUAUCAGAAC